GAUGAAUAGAAUGAGCAAAAGUUGCAGCACAGCGUGUCACCAGAGAGGAAAAGAAUAUCCUUGCUGUGCCAAGAAAGAAAAGACCAUGGAUCUACUAGUUGCAGAUUUCAGCAGUAAUGCCAAGGGGGCAAGAAGUGACCAGCAGAACAAUUAGGCCAUGGCAACAGAAGCCAACUACAACCCAUGUUCCAAUCUAUGACCUCCCUCUCCUGCUGGUACAAGGAUAUGAUCUGGAGUCUGGGAAGUUCAAGAGCAUGGCACCAACAUCUGGCAAGGGCUUUCAUUCUGCAUCAUCUCAUGGAGGAAAAUAAAAAGGAGGCUGGAUGCUCCUGUGAAGUACGUCUUUUAUCUACUUGCUAUCUUUGCAAUUCCUUCAUGCUACAAUGAGAGAUAGAGUUUAAACCUGAAAACAUUCUUGGAAAAGGAAUCUUCAUUAAUUCAAAUAUACCACAAGAUUCACCACCAUCACUACUCUAAGUAUUUUUCUUCUUGAGAAAGAGAAGGAGAGGGAAAGCAAGGAAGAGGAAGAGAAAGAGAAAUGGAUAAAAACAUGGUCAAGUAGAAGAGUCUGUGAUUUCAGGUAAAUCCAGAUUUGGAGCUUAAAUGACUCAAAUGCUUUGCCUACAUUGAUCCUACAUUCAGGCUGCUUACAUAUCUCUUGGCUUCUCUGAGAACCAGAUUGUCACCACUUAAAGUGUCUUCCAGAGUCCUCACGAGUAUCAGAGAAGGCAUAAUCUGUACACGUGGCUUCAUUUAAAAUGAAAAUAUCAAGCAGUGUCAUUUUCACAAGUAUCCCCACACUGUCUGAGGCUGAAAAGAAGAGUGUAGCUAUGCACACUGCAGUGAGAAGAAAAUUUCAGCUCAAUUGGAGGAUGUAAAGAUUGAAAUACCACUGCUCCUAGUUCUGAUGCAAAAUUGAAAAGAGUGCACUGGGUCUUCAAAUGGCAUAUUGACAAGGAGAAAGAGGAAAGGAUGCCCCAGGACAGCCUGGGGGUCAAGGCUGGGCUCAGGCAUGCCUGGACAAGCCAUGCAAGUUGUCUCCGGACUUGAACCACGUAUCAGAGGAGCUAUUUGAGGAGCCACAUCAGCAUACCUGCUUCUGUGGGCCCCCAGGCUGUGGUGCUCAGCCCUUGCACUAUGAAACAUUUUUUUUUUCCAGAAGCCAAAGCUUUGAGCAUCUCCUCCCAUGUAGAGAGUGUAUAUGUUUACGUCCAUGUCUUUCGCCAUGUGAACGCAUGCAACCACCACCUCAAAUAUCAUAAAUCCUCUCUCUCCCCCUUUCUGUCUGCCUGUUUAUCUACAAUCUGUCUAUUUAAAUUCUUUUUAAACAAGAAGGGAAUAUCUUUAUGCCUGUUUGUAGGGAUAUUCUACAUCCAUCUGUUAUUUACAUCAUUCGUUUUCCUGAGGUGUCUCCAACAAAUCCUGGCUGGAUGCACUGUAUGUGUUAUUAAUAAAACAGCUGUAAAAAUAUUAA
rnacentral:lncRNA from 1 species